rnacentral:lncRNA from 1 species
GUCUCGUUCACUCAAUGCUCAAUGUUGCCCAGGCUGGAGUGCAGUGGCGUGAUCUCGGCUCGCUACAACCUCCACCUCCCAGCCGCCUGCCUUGGCCUCCCAAAGUGCCGAGAUUGCAGCCUCUGCCCGGCCGCCACCCCUUCUGGGAAGUGAGGAGCGUCUCUGCCUGGCCGCCCAUCGUCUGGGAUGUGAGGAGCCCCUCUGCCCAGCUGCCCAGUCUGGGAAGUGAGGAGCGUCUCUGCCCGGCCGCCCCGUCUGAGAAGUGAGGAGCCCCUCCGCCCGGCAGCUGCCCAGUCUGAGAAGUGAGGAGCCCCUCCGCCCGGCAGCCGCCCCGUCUGGGAGGUGUACCCAACAGCUCACUGAGAACGGGUCAUGAUGACGAUGGCGGUUUUGUCGAAUAGAAAAGGGGGAAAUGUGGGGAAAAG